GAUGAACGCUGGCGGCGUGCCUAAUACAUGCAAGUCGAGCGAACGGACGAUAAGCUUGUUUCUCUGCUGUUAGCGGCUGACGGGUGAGUAACACGUGGAUAACCUACCUAUAUUACUUGGAUAAUUUCGUGAAACCGGAGCUAAUACCGGAUAAUAUUUUGUACCGCAUGGUUCAAAAGUGAAUGACGGUCUUGCUGUCACUUAUAGAUGGAUCCGCGCUGCAUUAGCUAGUUGGUAAGGUAACGGCUUACCAAGGCAACGAUGCAUAGCCGACCUGAGAGGAUGAUCGGCCACACUGGAACUGAGACACGGUCCAGACUCCUAUGGGAGGCAGCAGUAGGGAAUAUUCGACAAUGGGCGAAAGCCUGACGGAGCAACGCCGCGUGAGUGAUGAAGGUCUUCGGAUCGUAAAACUCUGUUAUUAGGGAAGAACAGAUGUGGAAGUAAAUGUGGACAUCUUGACGGUACCUAAAGAGAAAGCCACGGCUAACUACGUG
rnacentral:rRNA from 1 species